rnacentral:lncRNA from 1 species
UUCCAUGUUUGAGUAUCCCUCACAGGGUAAAUGAAGAAUCUCUCCCAAAAGUACAAGAUCUAAACAGAUAUCUAUACCCUUAACAGUGGAUGUUACUGUUCCAUUGCCAUAGCUCAAGUUCAGAUAAAAUUUCUUAACCAAAUCUACAUAGGUAAUUUCUUUAAGAGAGCAGUAAAAUUUUCAACCUUGAUCUUUGAUUUUUGAACCAAUGGAGAACCUCUCUUUUUCAAAAAAUCUGAAAUCUAUAUUUUUCCCGGGUUCUACCUUUCUAACAGAUAAGAAAAUUUUACUGGGGCUUAAUGGAGACCGAGAAGAACCUGGAGCAGAUGCCGAAACAGGAAUGGAAGCAUAUGAGGUCUGAGAAGCCUGUCUCUUCCUGCGCACGCUCUCUUCCAACUCGCGGACCGACUUCCUUCUUUGUGGGAGCUUCAUUUUUGGAGCCAUUUCCACCACCAGAGUAAGCAAGGGGUCUUGGGAGGUCAAAUGUGUGAAGAGAUAGAGGGAUUUUAGAGGAA